rnacentral:rRNA from 1 species
AUACGGGGGGUGCAAGCGUUAAUCGGAAUUACUGGGCGUAAAGCGCGCGUAGGCGGUUUGCCCAGUCGGAUGUGAAAGCCCAGGGCUCAACCUUGGAACUGCAUACGAUACUGGCAAACUAGAGUGUGAGAGAGGAUAGUGGAAUUUCCGGUGUAGCGGUGAAAUGCGUAGAUAUCGGAAGGAACAUCAGUGGCGAAGGCGACUGUCUGGCUCAACACUGACGCUGAGGUGCGAAAGCGUGGGUAGCAAACAGGAUUAGAAACCCCAGUAGUCC